AUACGAAGGGGGCAAGCGUUGUUCGGAAUAACUGGGCGUAAAGCGCACGUAGGCGGAAUGUUAAGUUAGAGGUGAAAUCCCAGGGCUCAACCCUGGAACUGCCUUUAAUACUGGCAAUCUAGAGAUCGAGAGAGGUGAGUGGAAUUCCGAGUGUAGAGGUGAAAUUCGUAGAUAUUCGGAGGAACACCAGUGGCGAAGGCGGCUCACUGGCUCGAUACUGACGCUGAGGUGCGAAAGCGUGGGGAGCAAACAGGAUUAGAUACCCUAGUAGUCC
rnacentral:rRNA from 1 species